rnacentral:rRNA from 1 species
AACGAACGCUGGCGGCGUGCCUAACACAUGCAAGUCGAACGUGAUUAGAGGGCUUGCUCUCUAUGAAAGUGGCGCACGGGUGAGUAACGCGUAGAUAAUCUACCUGAUGAUUCGGGAUAACACUUCGAAAGGGGUGCUAAUACCGAAUAAGCCCACGGAGUCCUUGGACACUGCGGGAAAAGGGGGGGACCUUCGGGCCUUCCGUCAUCAGAUGAGUCUGCGUACCAUUAGCUAGUUGGUAGGGUAAAGGCCUACCGAGGCGACGAUGGUUAGCUGGUCUGAGAGGAUGAUCAGCCACACUGGAACUGAGACACGGUCCAGACUCCUACGGGAGGCAGCAGUGGGGAAUUUUGCGCAAUGGGGGAAACCCUGACGCAGCAACGCCGCGUGAGUGAUGAAGGCCCUUGGGUCGUAAAGCUCUGACAGAGGGAAAGAAAUGUGGAGUGGCUAAUAACCGCACCACUUGACGGUACCCUCAAAGGAAGCACCGGCUAACUCCGUGCCAGCCGCCGCCGUAAAAC